AGUGAACGCUGGCGGCAGGCCUAACACAUGCAAGUCGAACGGCAGCACAGUAAGGGCUUGCUACUACGGGUGGCGAGGGGAGGACGAGGGCGGUAAACAUCCCAAUCUACUGUUACGAGGGGGAGAAAGUGGGGACACUUACGGUAAUACCCCACACGACCUACGGGGGGGAGCAGAGGAUCUGCCGACCUUGGGUGAACGAACGAGCCGAGAGCGGGUUGGCGAGUUGGCGGGCUAACGGCGCGGCAAGGCGACGAUCCGCAGCUGGUCUGAGAGGAUGAUCAGGCACACUGGAGCUGAGACACGGUCCAGACUCCUACGGGAGGCAGCAGUGGGGAAUAUUGGACAAUGGGCGCAAGCCUGAUCCAGGCAUGCCGCGUGGGUGAAGAAGGCCUUCGGGUUGUAAAGCCCUUUUGGUGGGGAAGAACAGCAGCAGGUUAAUACCCCGCUGUUCUGACGGUACCCACAGAAGAAGCACCGGCUAACUUCGUG
rnacentral:rRNA from 1 species